UCGAGGAUUUAAAAGUGCACGUGUGCGUCAGAGUGUAUAAAGACCCGUUCCCAACCACGCUCUUCAUACCACCACUUCACCGAUCUCUGAAGACGCAAGUCUCUCCCUGAUCUACCAGACCGAGGAUUCAAAAGACGAAGCUUAGUGACACCAUGAGGCUGUUUGUGAGUGUGCUGCUCGUGACCAUGGUCGUCGUGGCCACGCUGAUCGACGACUCCGAGGGGUGGCGGCGCCGGCGCAAUGCCGUGCGCAGGCGUAUGCG